GGGCCCACGUUUUCACAUAAAACAUGAUACAGUCUAGAAUGUUUAUUUUUGCGGUAACACGCAAUCAAUACAACUUUCAACAACGGAUCUCUUGGCUCUCGCAUCGAUGAAGAACGCAGCGAAAUGCGAUACGUAAUGUGAAUUGCAGAAUUCAGUGAAUCAUCGAAUCUUUGAACGCACCUUGCGCCCCUUGGCAUUCCGAGGGGCACACCCGUUUGAGUGUCGUGAAAUUCUCAAAAUCCUUUUCUUUGACCGGAAUAGGACUUUUGGACUUGGAGGUUCAAUGCUCGCUUUUGCCUUUGAAAGCGAGCUCCUCUCAAAUGAAUUAGUGGGGUCCGCUUUGCUGAUCCUUGACGUGAUAAGAUGYUUCUACGUUUUGGAUUUGGCACUGUUUUCUCCGCUCCYAACUGUCUCAUGGACAGCGAUGGUGCUCCGGUCGCCGCGUCUAUGGCGGGAGGCUGGACCCACAAAAAACCUGC
rnacentral:rRNA from 1 species